rnacentral:lncRNA from 1 species
GUUGAUCAAUCCAGAUUGAUAGUGUAGUUGUUGGUCUUCCGUUUUCUAAACCUGUUUCAAGUAAUAGACUUCUGAUCACCCUUUGUUAUUUCAGAUGAAAGAGAAUGAACAAAAAUAGAAAUGAUGGGCUCUGUGGAAUCAUUUGCUGGUAUUAAGUUUGGAUUUCAGAGGUUGGGAGCGGUCCUUUCCCCACAUCAGAAACCAGCUGUAACUCUAGGUCAGAGCGCAUUAAAAUGAGCCACUUCUGAAAGAGCAGCGCCCAGG